UGAUUUUGGUUUAGUUUGUUGCUCUUCUAGUGAACCUGAGAACAUAUGGGAGCUUUGGGAGCUUUUGGUUGAGUUCUUCUUGGUGCAGUGAAUCUUCAAGCGUUCUUUGUAGUGCUGGCUUAGUGGUCCUGAAGUCUUCUCGCUUAUUCUUUUUUUUUUUUUAAAGAGAGAGAGAGAGAGAAUUUUUUAAUAUUUAUUUUUUAGUUUUCAGUGGACACAACAUCUUUGUUUGUAUGUGGUGCUGAGGAUGGAACCCGGGCCGCACGCAUGCCAGGCGAGCACGUUACCGCUUAAGCCACAUCCCCAGCCCUUCUCGCUUAUUCUUAUCAUGGAAAAUUUUGAUUUCUCCGUUGAUUCUCAAAGAUAACUUUGCUAAACACAGUAAUCUUGGCUGGCAAUUGUUUUCUUUUAGAGCUUGUAAUGUCUCAUUCUGGGCCUUCCUUGGUUUUAGGGUCUGAGCUCAGAAGUCAGCUGUGAGCUGUAGUAGUCCAUUUAUUUUGUUUUGAGACAGGGUCUUGUUAAGUUGCAAUCUAAAUUUCCUCAAACUUGC
rnacentral:tRNA from 1 species